rnacentral:lncRNA from 1 species
GAGCUGAGGAAUAAAAGGAUAUUCUUCUGAGCCUAUUUAAGCUACACGAAGUAACAUGGAUUUAUGAAUCAAUUUGUAGAUUUAAUUGUACCAGAUUUCAUUAUGAUUCUAUUGUCUCAUCUAUUACUUGGAAGAAGUUCUAAUUUUUUUUUUUCCCAAGAAGGUAUAUUUUGUGUUACAUAAGAUUCAGAAAAUUCUAUUGUUGUGUAAUCAGAACUUCAACCUGAACAUUAUUGCCAGUGUAGCCAAUUUGAGGAAUGGUAUAAAAGUAUGUUACAUUAACCUUAGCAGUAAUGAAACAUACUAUAGACAAUAAAUAAAUACAGGAAAAUCCAUGCUCCCUAAGAGGGAGAGAUUUUUUGGGAUUUACAGUAACUUUUUGUGUCAAGAACACCCAGAGACAAUACGUCCACAUAUCCUCUAAAGUUGAACGUUUCUCUUGUGCAACUACCAGAUUAUUUUCCCUAUUUGAGAAUCAGGCUUUUAAAUGCCAAAUCAGGGCCAAGAUUAAUUGGUCACUGAGCUAUUGACCAUUCAAAGCAUAUGACCCCCAAUACCCUGAAUGGACUUUGUCUCUUUACAAAUAGUCUGAAAGAUAAAACUUUUCCUGAUGGAUUAAGUAAUAGUAAUCUGUGGAACAUAUUUCUGAUCAUAAUUAUCCCUUCCACAGCAGUUGGAAAACCUAAAGGGAUAAUCAAAAAUUUGUUCCUCAUUUGGGCCAGUAUUGCUAAUAAUAAGUCCUAUUUCCUCAGGGCAUAACAAGCAGGUUUAUAUUUCUUAGCCAAAGUCGUUUAAAAAAAAAGAAGAAGGAUAGCACUGGAUACCCUUUGCUCAAACAGAGGGUAUCUACGCCAUUGAUAACACUUCAUGCUAUAGCUGGAUUAACAUCACAGAUGUGGGGGAACAAUCUAUUUCUAAGCUAAAAGAAAAUUCAACCUGGCUAAGUUCCUGCAUUUUGCAUAUUGCUUACAUUGGGGAAAUAUCAUAUCAGGUUCUAGAAAUCCUUCAAUAUCCUUCUUAUAAUAUAUUUAGUUAUACGUAUUGUUCCACAGUUGUCCAAUGCUAUUGUCUAGAGUCCAAAUGCUUCUUUGCUUUCACUGUCCUGAUGCGUGAUUCAAACCUUUUGAAGCCAGGUACCGGAGGGUCACUGUAGACAUUCACAAAGAACAAGACUGCCUUUUGACCUUGUUCCCGACACGGACAUAGAUGAAUCCUGUCAAUUUGCUGUUUUCUUGUUUAACUUGAGUGGUGACUUGAGUUUGUUUUGCAGAAGAAAGAGAAGGCCUUCUGGGAGGUUGCAGUCAGGAGUGGCCAAUCCCCAGCAGCCGUUGCAGAUUGUCCAGAAUUGUUGUUUGGUGGAAUAAACAGAAGAGAAAAAAGCUGAAGAAGGGGAUUGCCAGACGCCAAAAGAGUGGUGGACCAAACAUGAGCCUUGGGGAAUAGAUGAAGAAAAUGGCUCAAGAGGAAGCAGAUUUUAAUAAAAACUUAAGGAAGUAGCAUCAGGAAACUGAGCUCAACAUAUAUUACAAAGAUGCAGAAAAAGCACUUGACGAAAUUCAACAUCCAUUCCUGUUAAAAAUUCACCCAAAGUAAGAACAGAAGGGAAUUUCCUCAAAUGGAUGAAAAGCAUCUACAAAAAACUAACAGCUAACAUCAUAUUUAAUAGUCAAGUCCACAUGUUUACUCCUCAAGAUCAGAAAAGAGACAAGGGUGUCUGCCCUCAUCGCUUCUAUUAAGCAUUGUACUGGAGGUACGAGCCAGAGCAAUCAGGCAAGAUAAGGAAAUAAAACGCAUCCAGAUUGGAAAGAAGAAGAAAUAAAAUUGCUAUUAUUCUCAGAUGACAUGAUCAUCUAUACAGAAAUCAUACAGAACUACAAAAAUGCUACUGGAAUUAAUGCUAUUUCUGCAACAUUACAGAUUACAAGCUCAAUACACAGAAAACAACUGUAUCUCUAGAUAUUGGCCACAUGCAAUUAGAAAGUAAAAUGUAAUAAAAUACAAUUUAUAAUAACUUUAGAAAUUUAAGAUAUUUAGGAUAAAUUUAGCAAAAGACGGCAAAGAACUGUACAUUCGAAACUACAAAAGACUGCUGACAGAAGGUGAAGCAGAUCUCAAGAAAUCAAGAGAUAUGCUGUGUUGAUGGGUCAGAAGUCACCAUAUUGUUAACAUGUCAAUGCUUCCCAAAUUGAUCUACAGAUUUGACAAAAGCCCAAUUAAAAUCUUAGCAGGUCUGAAUGAUGAUGAGCACAGUUCUGCCAACUUAACAGCCAAGAAACCCAAGAUAAGAUUGAGUAAAUUCUUGUAAGCAAAACCAGUCAUGCUAUGCUGACGAGAAUUGCCUUGCUUAAGGCGGAAGUAAGUUCAUCAUUCAAGAGUUUCCAAGAAGUCAUUAACUCUAAACUGCCCCAAGCAGAAUUAGUCACUUUUUCAUCUAGACUUCCAUAAAACUUUAUAACUGGCCUCUUUAGACCAUUCACCUAUUAAAUAAAUAAAA